UGGAUAAAGCAGCGACGACGAUUGGUUGUGUGAAAAGUUUUUCUUGUUAUUGCCUAGAUUUUAGCUGUCCUAUGUUUACAAAAACUCUUGAUACCUUGACCCGGAAGGUGGGAUUAAACAGGGUUUUGGUCGUCUCUCAAACAAUGAUCAGGCAGCAGAUGCUUAGCUCUCUGAUCUGUUUAUUCAAACUGUCGGUCGCUUUGUAAUUAGUUGCCAUGUGGAGAAAAAGGUAAAAAGGAGGCAACGGAUGAAAGAUCAUCGGCGGCGGAGUCGGUCGUCGCCAUCAUAUUUCCAUAAUGCGUGCUUGAUGGCAGCAGCUCAUCUGCUCAUGCUCGGCUAAGGCACAUGCAUGUGCCAUUGAUGGGGGUGACAGAGCUCGCUUUCAGGUGCUGGUACACAUUUGCCGGAUCGUAAAUUCGUAAUCGUGCACGGUUAUGGCUUCCAUUACCUGUGACAUUUACAGUUCGUUUGGUUGAUGCUGUGGUGAUGUUUAUGCAAUGCGAUGCAACCGGUCGUGCUCAAUACACUAGAGCAUCUAAAAAAAAGAAAUGUUCACUACACUCGGUCAGGAGCUGGCAGUGGCGGCAACCUAGUAAUCCACUGUGACUGUGGUUGCUGAGCGAGAAAUGCGCGGUUGGUGACGGCGCCAUGGCAGAGCGAGAGAGAGCGACAACCGACAGGUGAAGCUAAGCUACUCACGGAUCACGGACUCCGGACGCCAUGGGCUGCCCAAGAAACCCAUCGCGAAUGUGCCGCUUCCGGGCUUGUGGCAAGGCAGGCCACAAGCCCACAACAGGCCCAUAACAUGCGCAAAGAGCCCCUAAGCAACGUGGUGGGAAAUCUUCGGAACCAGUUUCAGUCCAGCUGUGCAGGACACACUAUCUGAUAUUAAGCUCCAGCAAGGUUAAUGUUUCGGUGCUUUUGUCAUUGUGUGCCUCGUUCAACUAGUGUUGGAUACACAAUACAUGUUAGAUUAAUUAGGUUAGACCUAUUUAUUUUAAUUAAUCAAAUAAGAAUUAAAAACCCCACGAUAAAUGCUAAGAGUUACUAAUUGAUCAAUUUUGUAUAGGAAGUUGAGGAGAGGUGAUUAUUGUUGUUUAUGAGAAUUGACUCACUCAAUUAAAACAACCAAUAAAGUGCUGAAAGUUACUAAUGCUUGAUGACCAUUAUCCCGUCAAUCCCGUCAAUUACUAGUAACUUUCAUCAUAUUAUGAUGUCCAGAUUCGAUAAACCUCACCUCUUGUAACCUAUAUAAGAGAGGCAUCUCCUCUUAUUCUUACACGUGCGAAAAUACCUGAACGCUCUCAAAUACUCCUGCUUAGGAGAUCUCUCUUCUCCCUCCAUUGUUUUGAUGCUGUUGUUACUCUUCAUCCAGCGCAAAGCUCUACGCGCACAUGGGUUUGCGUGAGUAAGCCUCCGGAACCUCCCCGCCUUCGUGAUCCUGCUCGGGAUAGGUGUGCAAACAAGAUUUUUAGGGAGUUUAUGACUACGCGACUGUUCGUUGUACGACUACUUACAGAAGACCGCUGUACGACACUUUCUGCUACAUCCAGAAAGGUCGUUCACGGGGACUGCACUGUGGACAUCUCCAUGCAUCUGCUUCGUAUGGCUACUUCAAGCAAGGUCAACCGUUUAGCAUGCCUGAACCAGUUGAUGACUACGCAUCCAAUGUCCCCGGCAACGGAUCCGCCCCAGGGUUCAUUCUGAACUUUUUCUGGUUCUUAUGUUCUUGUUUAAUAGGAGAUCAAACUUGAACGCAUGCACAUAUCAUGUUGUCAUAAGAUCACUACAAUUUAUCAUGAUUAAUUUGUUAAUUUUUGGAAUUAAAAUAUGUCUAGUUUUCUAACAAUACACAAUAGUAAUGGUGUGUGUUAUGUCAACGUUUAUGUGUGCUGCAUAAGCAGGGGUGCAGGACGACCACUGAAGACGGAUCGGAAUGGCAAGGCCAAGCCCAAAAUGAGAGGUAUGUGCUGCAACUAAUUUAGCUAUGUUCUAUGCUAGAUCAUUUCCAUAUAUAUGUUAUAUAUGUACUCCCUCCGUUCCAAAUUAUAGGUCGUUUUGACUUUUCUAGAUACAUAGAUAUUAUUAUGCAUCUAGACAUAGGGUAUGUCUAAGUGCAUAAUAAAGUUUAUGAAUCUAAUAAAGUCAAAACGACCUAUAAUUUGGGACGGAGGGAGUAGUUGGCACUUGGUAGCGAAUUGCAUGUGUAUAUACCACUUUGAUUUUGCAUCUUACUUAAUUGCGUGUUCUAUUAGCUUCUCCGCACCUUAAUUUUAUUCUAUCAUCUGCCACUAACUACAACAUAUGAGUAUAUGACGCUGUGACCUAGUCAUCCACCCUGAGAACCAGUUCCACAGGCAAUAUCAUUUGCAAGUUUAAAACAAAAACCAAACAUAAAGUACUGCGAGAUAAAAUUUCGAGAAACAUAAAGUACUGCGAGAUAAACCAAAAAUAAAGACCAAACAUAACAUUUUUAAAGCAUCUCUUUUAGAAACUCGUAUGUGGUUCUGCGAGAUAAAAAAAAACUCUUUCUUGGAGCUUUUCGAGAGGGGCUAAAUAGAAGUACUUGCUUUAUUGGGCAAAGUGGUAUGCCUGGUGCGUCGGCCGGAGGGUCGCCGGCUACCUCUCCCUCCGCGUCCAGCAGCUCGACGUCCGCUGCGAGACCAAGAGCAAGGACAACGUCUUCGUCACCGUCGUCGCCUCCGUGCAGUACCGCGCCCUGGCCGACAGGGCCUACGACGCCUUCUACCGCCUCAGCAACGCCCGGGAGCAGAUCCAGUCCUACGUCUUCGACGGUCGGUAAUCGAUCAAUUGAUUGAGCAAAUAUUUCUUUCCAUUCUGUAUGCGUGUGUUCUUGUGAUGGAUGAUGUGUACCGAGAGCAAGUAAAUGAUCUCAGUGAUCCGGGCGAGCGUGCCGAACAUGAACCUGGACCAGGUGUGUUCGAGCAGAAGAACGAAGGUGGCGCGGGCGGUGGAGGAGGAGCUGGCCAAGGCCAUGGACACGUACGGCUACGAGAUCGUGCAGACGCUCAUCGUGGACAUCGAGCCCGACGAGGUGCUGAAGCGCGCCAUGAACGACAUCAACGCGGCGGCGCGUGGCGGCGGCGGAGCGCGCCGAGGCCGAGAAGGUCCAGCAGGUGAAGCGCGCCGAGGGGGAGGCCGAGUCCAAGUACCUGGCGGGCGUCGGCGUCGCGCGACAGCGGCAGGCCAUCGUCGAGGGGCUCCGCCGCUUCGUGCCCGACGAGAAGGCCGUCAUGGACAUGGUCCUCGCCACGCAGUACUUCGACACCAUCAGGGACAUCGGCGGCACGUCGCGCGCCGCCACCGUGUUCAUCCCGCACGGCCCCGCUGCCGUGCACGACGUCGCCGCGCAGGUACGCGACGGCGUGCUCCAGGCCGCCACGCACGCCCCCGGCGGCGGCGCCGUAGCCAGGUGAUCCUCCACCAUGCCCACCAUCCACCAGCCCGCCGUGCGCCCGUGCCUGCUUGCCUGUCCAGUGUCCACACCCUUUGUAUGUUCUUGUACUGCAUGUAUAUGUAUCGGAGAUGCGACUAUCUGUAUGCUUUAGAUUGUUCAUUUCUUCUAGCUACCUUUGUCUUCACUAGCGAAAUGUAUAUUCUUUGAGCCUUUGAGGUGUGCAUAUGUUCAUCGUAGAAUUCAAAAUCGUUACGAAAAACGUCCACAAUUGAAAUCCUACGUGAUGAAUUUAAAACACAUGAAACUUUCGAUUAGUUUGCACACAAAAAGCGAUAAUUUAGAAAGAGAAGGAAAAACACCUAGAGAAGUUAGCUUUCCUUACAAAAUAUCAAAAUUCAUCAGACCGCCGCUUCCGCUAAAGAAAAUUGCUAGCCGGCCUGCACCGUUUUCAGGCCCAACAAAAGCCCAUGGUCGCCGCAACCACCAUUCCGUGAUCCACGUGCAAGCGAAGCGACAGCUGCCGCCCGGAGACUCGGAGAGCAUCCCACGGUGACCUGGAUGUGGGUCCCAGAGUCAGCCUGGCCCAGCUGCCCGCCUCCGCUGUUUGCUCCCCACGAAGCACGACGCGACACGAAAACAAAAAAAAAAAAAGAAAGAAAGAAAAGAAACCAAAACCCACGGGAAAUCAGAAAAGAGAAGCAAGAUCCGCAGCGGCUCCAUUUUAACUGGUCGCCGCCUCCGCCGCUGCCAUCUCUCCCCCUCGCCCCUCCGUACCACCCGUCUCCCCUUCUCGCCGUCGCCGCCGCCUCCGCCGCUGCCAUGGCACCAGGUCUCUACACCGACAUCGGCAAGAAGACCAGAGGUCCCGCACGCCUCCUCCUCCUCUGCUCCCGAUUCUAUAUUCCUGUUGUCCGUGUUCUUCGCUGCCCGAGAACCCGCCUGAUCCUGACCUGACGCGUGUGGUUUCCCUUUGUCCCCGCAGAUCUGCUGUACAAGGACUACAACACGCACCAGAAGUUCUCCGUCACCACCUGCUCCCCCCACGGCGUCGUGAGUGCUCUCUCCCUCACGCCUAAAUCCCAAUCAACCACCCUCUUCUCCUCUCCCGUACGCGCCUCCCCGCAACGAUCCGGCAAUUUCGUGACGUAGGGGUUAGUGGAGUGUAUGGCUGUCCGAUUCCAAAUUGAUUGGAACCUCGACGCCCAUUCCUGAUUGGGCGAUCGAAUCGGUCGCUCUUGUUGAUUCUCUGGGCAUAGUCGUCCCGCAACCGAUCACUGUUUACUGUUGCGUACAAUCACUGUUUAUUCCUGUAAAAAAAGGGUGUCAUUCACAAUGCUUGCGAUCUGUUUUCUAGAUUGGAUGGUGAACGUGCAGGAUCUGAAGUCACAUAAUUACUGUGAUUCUGCGGUUGCCAGAUCAUCAUUUUCCGUCUCCCUCCCAAAUGUUUUCCUGUAAUGUAUUUUUUUUUCUUUCCACUAAUCCACUAUGCAGCAUUACUUUAGUAAAUGCGUUAGAGUUAGGGACUGUUUUUGAAGUAGAAGGAUGGAGGACCAGAAUACAGUAUUGGAUCAGUGUAUCUUCAUAUUGUACUUGCAGUUUUUGCUCUCUGGUGAUGAUCUUGAUUUUACAUACAGGCAAUCACAGCCGCAGGAACAAGGAAAAAUGAGUCCCUCUUUGGCGAGCUUCACACCCAGAUUAAGAACAAGAAGUUGACAGUUGAUGUCAAAGCAAACUCAGAGUCAGAUGUAAGCUGCAGUGCUGUGCUUCUCCCUUUUUUACAGGAGCCAUGUUUCUAAUUUGAUGUUAUUUAUUGAACUGUGUUUAAUGCCUCAUUGUGAAUUUAUAAUAUUUUCUGAGAGUUGGAUUUUGUAUCUUCCAGCUUUUGACAACAAUCACUGUGGAUGAGUUUGGAACACCAGGGCUCAAAUCGAUUCUCAGCUUGGUUGUUCCAGACCAGAGAUCAGGGAAGGUAUGUUCUGGAAUUCUAAGGAUCAAAUCAAUUGUCAUUGUCUAAACUGUUAUACAACAUGGUGGCCAGUAAGCUAAAAUAAUUAAUCCUCUUUUUGUCUGUCUUAUCAGCUUGAACUCCAAUACUUACAUGAAUAUGCUGGUGUGAAUGCAAGUGUUGGGCUCAAUUCCAACCCUAUGGUUAACCUUUCUGGUGUCUUUGGAAGCAAAGAACUCUCAGUUGGUGUUGAUGUUUCAUUUGAUACGGCGACUAGCAAUUUCACCAAGUACAAUGCGGCCCUGAGCCUUACCAAUCCAGAUCUCAUUGCUUCCCUCCAUUUGUGAGUAUCGUUUCUUUGGUCAUCUACUAUAUGCUAAUCGACUCACUGUACUUAGUGAAACAUUAGUCUUACCAUGUCUUCAAUUUUACUGUGGUAAAUAAUCAUGAAACUCUUCGUCAGGAAUAACCAUGGUGAUACCAUGGUUGCAUCCUACUACCACUUGGUAAAGCAUCAUUCAGGCACUGCUGUCGGGGCUGAGCUGUCACACAGCUUCUCAAGAAAUGAGAGCACGCUGAUCUUUGGUUCUCAGCAUUCGUUGGAUCCCCACACCACCGUAAAGGCACGCUUCAACAACUAUGGCAUGGCCAGUGCCCUUGUCCAGCAUGAAUGGCGCCCCAAGUCGUUCAUCACCAUCUCUGGUGAGGUUGACACCAAGGCAAUUGAGAAGAGCACGAAAGUUGGUUUGUCCGUGGUGCUCAAGCACUGAAACACCAGAUGUUUUGGGCUUCAGGAUUUUCCUUUUCAGUUUCAGUGGAUUGGAAUAACAUGGAAAAACAUGGCCCAAAGUCAUCUUUGUGGCAUCAUUUUGAUCUCGAAUUAUAUUAUUUUCCCUCCAUGAUCUGUUCCAUAGGCAAAUAUUAGGAUUGACCUUAUGUUUUGAUUCUCAGCACCUUCUGUUAAUAAUUUCUGGUGAUCGUGACGGAUUGUUAAGCUUGUCAGAUGUGAUGGUGAUUACUUAGCAUUCAUUUAUAUGUUCAUUUGUUGAUCUCCUGAUGCCAUUCAUGUGCUUGGAUGUCUGUGGAUAAUAAGGGUAGAUGAAAAUCUCCGCAUACGAUGUAAUUAUAUUCCCAAGCUUUAUUGUGGGUAAAAGAAUGUUGUGUCCUUGUUUAAGAACUAUAGCUAAAUCUGCUCCCUACAAACAUUCCAAGGAUGCUUCAAGGAGUAGAUUGGGAUUUGGGAGCAUAUGUUAUAUUUACUGAAACACUGAAAUAUGAAAAUGUACAGAUAUAAUCAAUAAAAUUCAUGAAGCAUUUUUGUAACAUAGGCUCUAAUAGAUGAUCGCUAUCCCACAAAAAUUGAACUUAAAAAUCAACUAGUACAAGGAGAAACCAAAAAAUCUCUAAAUACCUAGUUUUUGUUAAACUCCACCGUAGUACUGGUUUCCUAGAUCUAGACAUAUGGUAUAUUUAAAUGCAUAGCAAAGUCUAUGAAUCUAAAAAAGUUAAAAUGACCUGUAAUUUGAAUCAGGAAGAGUAACUUGAACGACUCAAAGGAUGAAGUCAAAUUGAUUAAGCCUAACCAGUAACCACCAAAUGGCUGACCCCAUUUAAUCUAAUCCAUGGUGAUAAAUGAUUACACAGGAGAUCAUCCCGCUCUCGAGAACAAUCGCGGAGCACCUGACGUACGGCACGAUGAUAACGUUGUAGUGAAGCAGUUAGCUGAGUUGCCGUGCCGCGCGCCGAAAGCGCAUAUACAUGUCGAUCCAUAGAGAGGCGAGCGGAGAUCCCUAUCCCCAGCCUUCACCCAAACAUUUGGGAAGCUAGAAAGAAAAAACUUGUCGUGCCCUCAGGAAAAAGCUUGGAAUGCGUGAGCGGCUACAAUACUAUGCCUACACUACUCCGAUCCGUUAUAUGAGGCACCUACUAACUGCUUCGGCUCAUCGGUCUCACGGCCACGGUGCACUGACUUAGCUACCAAGCUCAACGCGAUCAACGUGCCUGCACAAGAACACGCGCGGCGGCGCCGACGAUCCCAUCGCGGCCACCGGCGAUAAUGGCGGCGAGCAGGCAAGCACCAGCGGCGGCCGACAACGUGGAUCCCGUCUACGAGUGGCUCGACGACGGCGACAGCUACCUCCUCCGCCUAAACCUCCCAGGUGCGUACGGUGCAGACGUGCCUGUGUAUUUUCUCGAUGGCAGCUGACGCCUGCACAUGUUCAAACUUCAAAAUGGUGCUAACUCUCUGCUACUUUGCGUAUCUUCUUGUUUGUUUGAAUUUGAAUCAAUUCCAAAGAGUUCAAGAAGGAGGAUUUCCGGGUGCACGUGGACGGCGAGGGCCGGCUCACCGUCAUCGGCCACCGCAAGCCCACGCCCGGCGCCGGCGGCGAGGGCAGUAAGGCGGUGCGGCUCCACAAGGCGUUCCAGCUGCCCAGCACGGCCAACCUCGACGCCGUCUCCGGCCGCUUCGACGGCACAUUGCUCACGCUCAAAGUGCCCAAGCUGCAGCAGGAGCAGCAACAGCCCGCCGCCGCGGGGCCGUUGCCUCCUCCAUCGACGCAGGCCAAGGAGGAGGCCGACGGCGGUAAGCCAGCUGGCCACGAGGACAAGGCGGCGUCGUCCCAGGCUGGCCGUGACGCGGAGACGGAGAAGGCGAGGGUCGAGGCGGGGAAGGCGGCGAGCUUGACGGCGAGAGGCAAGGAGGAAGACGAGAAGGCCAAGCCCGUGGCGGCGGCGCCGCCGCAUGCGACCGAGAAGGCGAGGCCGGGAGGUCAUCGAGACGACCAGGACGAGAAGGCGAGGGCCGAGCAAAGGGAGAAGGUCGCCCGCGAGGCCGCGCGCAGGAUCGAGGCGGCGCGGGCGAGGGUGGCGGAGGCCAAGGCCAAGGCGGAGCGGGAGAGACAGUGCGAGCACUGGAAGGAGCGCGCGGUGGAGGAGGGGCUCAAGCUGGCCGACGCGGUCAGCAAGAAGAAGGAGGUGAUCGCCACGGCCGUCGCCGCCUUCACGCUCGGCGUCUUCGUCUCCCACAAGCUCUUCUCCAGGAGCUAAUCGAUCAAACCAUCCACGAACAUAGUGAUGGAUGAUCAAACGACAGAGAGAUCGAGCACGUCGGGUAAAAUCAUUUGCGGGGCUUCAAGCCUUCUUCAUUCUUCGUGUGCGUUGCACAAGAUCGAUCACGCCACGGGUGAGAUGAGAUGUGUACGUAGCAUCGCUGUACUUGUAGAUAUACAAGUGUAAUUGUGACAAGGAGACAUCUACAUGUACUGCUGAAUGUUGAUCUUCCAUCAACUAGUGAACGAGUUUACACUGAAAAUCUUUACCAACGUGCACUCGGUUUGUCCUUUAUCUCUGUUCUUCUUUCGGAAACUUGUACCCAAGAACAUUUAAACAUAAAAAUAAUUUAAUUUUUAUUUACAUCUUUGAUUUUUUUAUCUCAAAUUAUACACCUGACAUGGUACAUAUCCCACUUGAAGUAGCAAGUUUGUUGUCCACUCUAUUGGAGACGAUGGUGAAACUAGCCUAAAAACCUAGGAGUCUCUUCUUGCUCUUUUCGCUUCUCUUCCUCCUCUCUUUUUUUUCCUUCCUCCUUCUUCCUUCUCCUAAAAAAUGGAGGGAGCUCAAUAAAGCAUCCAUUGUUUUGUGGGGAGGUGGUGGUGGUGGUGGUGUGUGUGGGUGGGUGGGUUGGGGGGGGGGGGGGGUGGGGGGGCAGGCUCAAGCCCCCUCACGCAUGGAUCUGCUCUUGGUUGGAGAUAUUAUAGCAUAACUUUAUUGUAAUCGCUGAAAAAAUUCUUGACACCCCUUGUUUUUAGGUACAGAUAUUACAACAUACUUUUACUGUCAACUCCGUCAAAUUUUUGACCAUGCCGUAGUUUAGCUAUUGUCAUCGUGGUAGUACGAUAAGUGGUGAUGUACCAUACGUUGAAGUUGAGCAGUAGGUUUGGCUGACAAAUAUGUUGAACGAACAACAAGAGACUAAAAUGCUCUCUCGUAAACCUCACACCAUCAAUAGCAACCAAAGGACACCGCUGAUGACAAUAGUGUGACGCUGAUGCAAGUCUUGCAACUGAUGGUCACUCUAUUGAAGCGCGAGGCUUGCCCAACGCAAAAUGCUAAAAGAGAUUUAGGCAUUAUGGAGAGUGAUGGGAAGCUCUACGUUGCUGAAAUUCAAUAUUGUGUAGAUUUCCUGAAGGAACUAUUGCCUCCAGGCACUGUCAACUCACUCACUCAUGCAUAUGAAAGGUCGUGCCUUCUGGAACUGUAUGGUGGGAUUUUCUUUGCCUCUCUGUUAGGCUCCAUUGUUGUUUUCGAGCUUUUUGUUAUUGUUUGUAGUUCUAGUUGACACCGUCCUAUCAUUUGUCUUGUUGUCUUAUUGUCUGCGCAGUCUGGGUUUAACUUCUUCUUUAUCAAUAUAAUAAUAGGUAACUUUAUCAAUAUAAUAGGUAACUUUCUUGCAUGUUCCCUUCCAAAAAAAAUGUUGAAUGGAGUUGACAUGUGGGUUAGGGUAAAGACUGAGAAGUGUGUAGGGUAUGCAGAGAUUUUUUUUAGACAAAGGGGAUAUUUGGUUUGUUGCACACAUUAGCCUUACCAAAAACUUGGUAACGGCAAAAUGUGGGCAUUACCAAAAUCAUGCACAAAAAGAGUGUUGCUUGGACUGCAACUUUACCAUUUACCAAUUCAUAUGCAACGUCAAAAACAUAAAAAGAAAACUAAGUGUUUGAAUUACAACCAUGCCAAAUUUUAUUAGAAAAAAGAGUAUGACAUGUGGGCCUACACUGCAUUAGUUUUUUAAGCAUCAAAAUACAGUUAAGUUGGGUCUUGUUUUAACAAAUUUAAUUUCAAGAAAACAUAUCACAAACCAAGUCAAAAAAAGAGGAAAACUAACCAUAGACUAAGUAUAGAGCUUAUAGGACACACUAUGAUAUUUUCAGUUCGGAAAACAUUACACCUCUGCCGGAGUCGGGCAACGUUUUGCUCGGCGUACACCACGCCCUUGUUGCCUUCAUACUGUGCAUUUACGCUACCAAAAUUUCAUUGACAUGCCAAACUUUGGCAUUGAACUCAAAUUCUUCCUUCAUUUCAACACUAGUGGAAAUCGUAGCUUCGGUGACAAACAGUUUUCAUCACCGUGAAGGUCAAAUUUGUCACAAAGGAAGUUUUGUGAUGAAUUUGUAACGAAAUUCAGUCCGUAAAAAAUGGAGCGUCACGUUUGUACUUUUGUGACGAAUUGAUAAAAAACAUCACAGAACUAGUUUUUUCUGCGACAAAAAACUUUCAUCACGGAAUCAUUUUCCGUUCUAUGAUACGUCGCAAAAAUGUCACUCAACUUUAGGAUCCACGUGUCCCCAUCCACGCUGGCACGUGACGUGGUCUAGACACGCUGGCACACGACGUGGCUUCAUCCACGCUGGCAGGUGACGUGUUGGCCAGCACGUGUGCAAAAAGGACCGCCACAUGGCUAGCUAGCAUAAGACCACGUGUCGAGACGACACAAGUCCAUGUGUCAUUAUUCUAUUCACCCACGUGUCACACACUCAUGUGGACAUGUGUCGACUUUUCAUCGGUCCACGUGUCAUAUUAUUACGUGCCCACGUGUCAUUUUCCCAUUUGUCUCCGUGUCAUUUUCCUGUUUAUCCACGUGUCAUUUUACAGUUUGCCCAAGUGUCCUUUCUCGGGUUGUCCAGGUGUCAUUUUCCUAUUGGCCCACAUGUCUUUUUUUUACGGUUCCACGUGUCAUUUUACUAUUGGUCCACGUGUUAAUUUCUAAUUAGUCCAUGUUUCCAUUUCUGUUUAUGACAUGUGUUCUUUUUUGAUUGGUCCAUGUUGCAGUUCUCCAUGUUGCAGUUCCCCACUAGUACACGUGUUAGUUUCUUAUUGGACCACGUGUCCUUUUUGGAUGUUACACAUGUCCUUUUCUGCAUGUUACACGUGUCCAUAUCAUGCAUGUCCACGUUCAUACAGAUCCAUUUCAUCACAGAACACCAAAUGAUGUAGCAGAAUUCACAGAAAGUUCACCAUAAUUAAGUUACAACCAGUUCAUGACACCAUCAUUAGUUAACUGGCAGUUCAGAGCCACAUAAAUUCAUAACACAAGCGUAUAAAAUUUUGUAGAUAAUCAUAAAUUCAUAACACAAGCGUACAAACACCAAAAUUUGAAAAUAUGCUCUAAAAGGAAGGAAUCGGCCGAUGAUGCAGAAAAUGACGAAAUCUCCUAAAUAAGGCUAAAGAAAAAGAAAGCAAGAUAAGGAAAUCAACGCACACGGCAAGAGUUGAAUAAAAUAUUCUGUAGAUAGAGUUGGUUAGGGAUAAGUUUGAUUAGAGAUAGAGUUGCAUUAGUUAGAGAUAGAGUUUUGAUUAGAAAAGAUUAUGUACGUGACUUGCCUUGUACGUGAUUGGAGCCUUGCCAUGUAACGUCGCCAUCCGCCCUAUAAAUAUAAAGGGUCGUGGCCAUUGUAAAGAGAAUCACACGAUCAAUAAACAAACAUAUUUACCUUUACCUUUCAGCUUCACGCCAUUGCAUUAGGAGUUGGAGUAAUGUAGCUUCUCGAUGAGUUCCUUCUAGCAAGCUGGGCUGCAUCGAACUCGAUCUCCAGCAAGCUGCAAGUCCCCGUCAUCAGGUGUACUAGACUUCAACUUCAGGGUGCAUCGCUGUUGUUGGGUCUGGUUUCAUGUACCAGUUAUCCAGUAUCUUGGAUCUUUGACUUACAGCGCAUCGCUUUUAUCUCGAUCUACGCUAUUCACCAGUUAUCCUGCCUUGAUUAAGCUUGCAUCGGCUGAUAUUUAUCUGUUCUAUCAUCUUGCCGUUCCGUUUGCUUUAAUUAGCUUUAGAUCGGCUCAUCAUAGAUGAUAGAUCGCUUGAUAGCCUGUUGCAUCUUAAUCCUGGGUACCCUUCGAGUGUUGUUGGAAUUAAGUUCCAUUUUGAUUAAAUUUAUUGGCUAGCGGGGUCUGGAUUGAUGUCCUGCUGAGUCUUUCUAGGUUGCAACUAUCAGGUGCAUCGCUGUGGUUUCACCUAGGAAUAUUGGUGGUGACGUUAGUUUAGAUCUCAUUGGUUUGUGGCUCUAGCUAUGGUGGAGCGAGAACUCGAUGACGCUCUAUCUCCUAUCGGCUGUCUAGCCGAUGGUUAUUGUGAAGUUAUGUUGAAUCGGCUUGAAUAGCCGAUGAGCCAUUUGCAUUCAUCAGGAUGUUGGAGUCAGCCUCAUGGCUGAUAUUUUAUUUAUCAUGAUUUAUUUUGCUACACCAUUAUCGCUACUGGUGCUUGGAUCACAUCGGCCUGAUCGGCCGGUUGCCUCGAACUUCGAAAGGAUCAUCUUCCCCUUGUCAGUUGAAUAGUCAAACUGACUGGCACGCCCGCGCACACCACGCGCGUCGAUUUGGAUUCUGCACUGGAGUUAAGCAAAUCUCCCAGGUCCUCAUGUGCUGAUGCAGGAUCCACCACUGUCAGGAUUUUGCGUCAACACAACGGAAUGCCAAGUAGUGCUGACAACAGUUCCACACACAUAGGAUUAGGGCUGAGAAGAGGUAUUAGGGGUGUUCAGGUUCAAGAUCUUCAUAAGAAUGACGUUGCUCUCAUCUUGUUGCUUGUUGAACUCCUCAUACUGUCUUUGAGUUUUCGCUAGUGCUUCCUCUGCUACUUUAGUCUUCUUCUUUAAUUCUUCCACUUGUUGAUGUAGAACAACUGAACUUUGUUUUUAAGUAGCAAGUUCUUGACGAAGCGCUUCUUCACCAGCUGACUGAGACUUGGAGGAGCUUGUGGGUAUACCAGCAUUCUUCAUGAAUGUGGUGUUGGAGCUAUUCUACGAGAGGAUCUUGGAAACCACAUCAACACUAGGCAAUGGUGGCUGCCUAUUAGCAAUAGGUUCUACCCUCAUAGUUUCCGUUGACGCCUAUAAAAUGCAAAGAUGAACUAUUAGUAUACCGAUUAUAGUAAAAAAGGAUUAUAUUAAAUAAACUAUGAACAAAGGCAGAUUGGAUAACUGUUACUAAAUAGUGUUAAUAUAACACACCACUGAAAGAUAGGGACAACCAUGAAUGUCACAACUAUAUGAUGCAGCAUGUACAGAGAAGUGUUGGAGAAAGAAGGAUAAAAGUCUGGAAGAAGGAUUUGAUAAAUGGUUUUAGAAUCAUGUAAGUUAAUGGCAUAUUAUCAUUUAUGGAAGUGACUGACGUAACAAUAUAUUUGGUUGUAGAUCGUGAAGUUGCAUAUAUAAAGAGAAACCUAAUGAAGACAGGCAUAAUUGUAGGAAAACAUGUGUAUUAUAGGGAUGCAGGUGAAAUGACCACGUAGAUAUUCAAUGCUAGUACUGACUUGUUGAGCAUGGCAACCAACAGAAAUUAAAAUUCUAAACGUCCAGCAAAUUAGCUAAUUCCUAGAAAAGCAAAUAAGCAUGUACAAGGACUUACAACUACUUCUCUAGCCGCGUCACUCAUACCCUUCUUGCGGCUGGUAUGGCAGACCUUGAAGGCUUCCACUGCAUCGACUUCUUCGUCAGCUUCAUCAACUUGUUCCUGGGGUUCAUCCUUGUUGACUUCAGCGGGUUCUGCAUCCUUGUUCUUGUUCUUAAACUGAUGUACCAAAAUGGAGGUUAGACAAACAGCAAAACCACUUAACUCAUUCAAGAAAGCAGAACAAUGAAAAGGGAACAUUAGAAGACUAUUGACACUUACAUAUGAAUGUAAUUGUGCAACGUAGCAGCGAGAUCCUGUUGCUUGAGGCCACCUGACUCUAGCUCGGUUUCACUUGUUCUGAUUAGAAAUUGCCUGCAAGACAUGUAUGUGCUAGUCUCCAUCACAAGUACAUACUUGAAAGCACACCAAGAGAAAUUACCUUGAUGUGUGCAGUUGACCACUUGUCUACAAGUUUACACCACUGUGCAUCAGUCAUGUAGGAGACAGGAGAGGUUGUGGGUAUCUCAUUAGCAGGGACGCAAUGAAGUGUUCCUUCUUCAACUUAUACCGCCUCUACCGUAUCCCUGACUUGAAUACACUGACACAAGCAUCUAUUGUUUCCUUAUCCCUUCUGUCAAUUGCUAACCUCCCUUGGUGAUUAGAAUUGAAAUCCAUUUACACAAGGGCCAUAUAAGAGUUGAAUGUAAAAUAGGGAGUAGUAUAUAGGCACUCACAGAUAGCCUUCCCACGAAACCCUCAAAAUGUCUUUUCCUUGUAGUCUUUCCAAUGGGGAAAGAUGGGAACUUGGGACCUAACAAUAACACCAGCAUCUGAUGCAAACUUAGCAGCUUGCACCGGUUCAUGCAGCCUAGUGUUCCCCUCAGCAACAGAGAUGGGCAUCCUUCUCCCCGUAGCUUUGGUCAUCUUGUCAAGCAAAAUUCCUCUGGUUGCUGGCCUCACCUUCCUUGGGCCACCUCUUUGUGUAGGUGCUGUAGAGAUUUCAUUCAAUUUCUCAUUAUUCAUCAAAUAUAAAACCAUCAGUGUGAAAAAGCUUGAGGAUCAACGAACCAACCUUCAGUUUUAGACUCUGACUGCCUAGAGUCGGUAUUCCUACCGAUCUCAUCUUCGUUGAGGUCAGGAGCAUCAUCACGAUCUACAUCAUAUUGAUAUGACCAGUCCCUCAGAGAACUUGAAUGAUUGUUCACAUUGUCAUCACCGCUAGUGUUUUCUGCAACUGCUGGCAAUUCUUCCUGCACAACAUUGUCAUCACCACUAGUGUGUUCUGCAACUAGUGGUAAUUCUUUCUGCACAGGCUUUUCACGUGGUCCUGAUGUUUGCAGCCUUUUCAAUAACCUUGUUGAAGCUCUAGGAGUGACCUUUGUUGGUGGGAUUGACCUCACCCUCUUGCAAUGUCUACCUCCAGGAGCCAUGGCACCACUUGUUUUCCUCUUCUUCGCACAGACCUUCCUACACUCAGUCCGCACAAGGCCCUGCAGAUUUCAAAAAGCAGAAGUUGUAAGCAUGUGAACAAAUUAGAAGCACUUCUAAGUUUUAGAAAUAUCAAGUGCUCCUUUUAAGCAUUGGAAAUAUCUACUGCUCCUUCCAAUCAUCCCCCACCUACAUCAAUUGCUAGGGGUAUCAGCUCCUCUUCUAAGUCUGUAUCAUCAUCUCCAUCAUCAGGCUCUUCAACUUCAGGGAUAUAAUCUGAUAAAUCAGAACCUUCACCACGACAAGCAUCCUUGGCAGACCUUUUUCCCUUCCUACCUGAACUUUCCCCUUUUGAAGUUGUUUUUUCUUGACAAUGAAUUAAGAGCUGAUGAUAAACCACUAAUGCCAAGUUCUUCCAUUCUUCUUAAAUUCUUCCUGAUAGUUGCUUCCCGUUCUCUUUCAUAUUCAUUUUGUGAAGGUUCUAACAUGUGUAAGUAGAUUCUAAGUAUUAGUGACCUUGGUUGAUUUCAUAUUCAUGACUGGAAUUAGAAUAUAGACCCACCACAACCUCCAACCCCGAAUCGUGGAUGAAUGUGUCACUACCUAGGACCAUAGAAGGUAGAUGGAUUUUACAUACCUCUUGAUACGGGGCGUUGGCGUGUGAUCAUUGUGAAUCGUCGGGUAGUUGCUUGUCGAAGAUGGUGAGGCUGCUACGAUGCGGCGGUCGUCAAUGAUGUUGUAGCAGAUCCGGUGCGACAGGCAUUGUCGAAGGGGUAGCAGAUCCAGUGUGGCAAUUGUCAUCGACGGGGUAGCAGAGUCGAAGGGGUAGCAGAUCCGGUGUGGCAGUAGUCAUCGAUGGGGAAGCAGAUCCGGUGCAGCGGUGAUGGGGAUGCAGCUCCGGUGCACUUAGUGUAGUCGAUGAGGUUGAAGCUCCAGAGGGUGGCCUUCGGGGGAGGGGAGGGGUUGAGUGUCGGCGCGUUGGAGCCUGCUGGUGCAGAGGUGAAAGGCGAGAGGUGGAGGCAGAUCUAAGCGAAGGGAUAGAGAAGGGGCAAGGGAUAUGGGGGGGGAUAUUGUCACAAAUACCCUUGAUGGACGAGGUAGCAGUGUGGCCAUUGCUUGAGGGUACAAGGUACAUUUCGCGAGAAAUGUUUUCAGCUUCGGCGGCAGAGUUGGCGCCUGGUGAAUAUUUCGAACCGUCGUGUCCCCCUGACCCAUGGACCCCACAUGUUGGUGUUCUUAGAAUUCCUUAUGAAUGUUGCGACCAUUUCUUGUGAACAAGACUAUUUCUCUUUUUAAUCUCCGAUUUAAAAUUUUAACUAGUCUCUCUCCCUCAUCAAACCCCCAAAUGACUUGAUUCUUUUUGUAAAGUGCAUCUAAAAUCAAGCUCGAUCCAAUCAUUGCUCUAUGUCUAAUAUCUUUUCUAUGAAAAUGCAGUCUGUUUUGAAAUUGGUAUAGUUCUUUCACUCUAGCUUUGGUCAAACAUACUACUUCAAUACACUACCUACAAUACUAAUUUGUUUUGAAUUAGUUUCAUGUGUUCCACAUGAUAGUUUAUUUAGUGUAGUUCUAUAUGGAAGGUAUGUAUUUGGUUAGUUCUAUAUAUAGUCACCUAUGGCUAGCAAAAGAAGAUUAUGGGAUAUCGAAAGGAUGAAUACUACUUGCAUUGCAUGCUCUAUUAUAUUAUUUGCGUGAUAUGUAAGUACUGAUACUUGCUAUAUAUGUGUGUACGCGCACUGAGAUUACUAAUUAAGAAGUACACAUGACAUAUACAUAUGCCAUCAUAUAUAUACAUAUCAAAUACUCAUUUUGUAUCCAUGUUGCAUUCAUGUCCACAUUAUUCCAAGGUAACAUUAUACAUGUGGUGAGCCACAUAUAUGCUAGGAAGUACUACAUAAUAAACUAAGGGUCCCUUUGGUUAAGCUGCGAAAGUGAUUUUGCUUUCAAGAAAAGUCAAAAGCUAAACCAAAGGGGUGAGCUUCCAAACCCCUACUUCCACAAAAGCAACUUUUUUGUAGUUCAUUCUCCACAACCACCCUCGGGGUGCUUUUUCCAGCUGUGAGGGCGGACAUUUCACAAAAAUUACCCGCACUGCCACCGCUUAUGGGCGUACCCCUUCGUUUUUCUUUCCCACCGACACCUCUGUCGCUCUCGCUCCCCACCCGCACCUCCUCUUGUUCCUACCCUAUGCUGUUGCGCUAGGGUUUUGCCGCGCCCUUCGGCGGCGGUCUGACGUGCCCUCUGGCGGCGGCGCCCGCGCCCUCCGGUGGCAGUCCAGCCGUGUCCUCUGGUGGCGGUGCCCUGAAGGCGGCUGCGACGCUCCUACUCGUCCUCCUCUCGAGCCCGUCGUCCACCUCCCGAUCUGUAUGCUAGCAAACUCCCCGCCCAGAUCUGGUGCUAAGGUAACUCCCCACUGCACCUCCUUGCUCUCCUGCACAUUCGUUUUGCACAUAAAAAGUGAAGCAGCAGCAAGGGAAUUGUGCCUCGUCUCUAGGGAAUCAAGGGCAAGGAGAGCAGUGUUGGUGUAAGUUGUGACAUAAAGGGUGUUAUUGCAUGUGGUUUAGGGGUGCUGUAGUGUAUUAGGCAGAAAAAAAGCUGAUCUGUACAUGAGGCAAUGAAGUGAACCACAGUGAGAUGCUAAUGGCUUUAACAAGACCAAACAGACCCUAACAGUACAAUUUCAAUAAACCUUGUUUGGAUGAAGGAAAGUGUGGGUACUACCAUUUUAUUUGUAAUAUAUUUAUGGCAUACAAUAUCUAAUUCUGAAACACACAUCUUUUACAUUUAUCUGAAGAAAGUUGCUUGCCUAUUCUUGUUGUUACCUGAGAAUUAAGGUUAGAACAAAAAGAUGGCCUUUUGACAUCAUUUGACACAUUCUGUAACUGCUGUGAUGAUAUUAAGAUUCAAAUUUGGUAACUGGAAUGGUGCACUGAAAUUUUAAAUUUAGCUUCACUAAGGUUAGCCUCUAGAAGCUUGUUAUACUAUCUUACUAACAAAUAGUAGAAUACAUAAUCUGAAUCUAACUAUUGCCUGGUCAUAGAAAUCAUAGGUCUACAUCACCACAUGUAAGCUUGUUAUGCUAUCUUACUAACAAAUUGGAGGAGGCAUGAGCAUUGAUAUUGUUAUGAUUGUGAAUUGAAUGAAUUUUUUUCUUUAUUCAAGAAUGACUGAUAAGGUAGAUUGAUGUGAUGCCAAUGUGAGGCAUUUCAUUGACAUAUGCAAAGGAGAGAUAGAAGCUGGGAAUAGACCCUUGGGAAUGUUCACUAGGGCUGGUUGGAAAAAUCUGGUAACUAAGUAUGAAAAAAAAACUGGGCUGAAGCAAACAAAGAAACAAUUGAAGAAUAAGUUGGACAAUAUGAAAAAAAAAUACACAUGGUUUAUGGAGCUCAAGAAUUAUGCCACUGGCCUUGGAUGGAAUGAGGCAAACCAAACUGUUGACUGCUCCAACGAAUGCUGGGAUGAACACCUAGCUGUAAGAAUUAUGUACUGUCCUUUUUUCAUUUAUCAUUUUGCAUUUUGAUUUGUUAACUGUGUAUAUGGGUUGACUUGUUAACUUUAUCCAUUUAAUUUUAGAGAUGCAACAAUCCUGAUAAAGGUAUCAAAUGCAAUCAUGUUAGGUUCAGAAAAUAAGGACCAAAGCACCUUGAUGAUCUUCAUAUGUUGUUUGAUAAGAUACAUGUUAGCGGGGCAAGUGCAUCCUGUCCUAGAGAUAUUUCCUCUGAUGACUCAAGUGAUGAGGAUGUAGGUGAGAUACAAAAACCUCAAGAUAAUGAUGAUGUCAAGUUGGCUGCUUUUAAAAAAAAUCAAAACCAAAAAAAAAA
rnacentral:lncRNA from 1 species